rnacentral:rRNA from 1 species
CGAGCGGAUCUUCAUUAGCUUGCUUUUGAAGAUCAGCGGCGGACGGGUGAGUAACACGUGGGCAACCUGCCUGUAAGACUGGGAUAACUUCGGGAAACCGGAGCUAAUACCGGAUAAUCCUUUCCCUCACAUGAGGGAAAGCUGAAAGACGGUUUCGGCUGUCACUUACAGAUGGGCCCGCGGCGCAUUAGCUAGUUGGUGAGGUAACGGCUCACCAAGGCAACGAUGCGUAGCCGACCUGAGAGGGUGAUCGGCCACACUGGGACUGAGACACGGCCCAGACUCCUACGGGAGGCAGCAGUAGGGAAUCUUCCGCAAUGGACGAAAGUCUGACGGAGCAACGCCGCGUGAGCGAUGAAGGCCUUCGGGUCGUAAAGCUCUGUUGUCAGGGAAGAACAAGUACCGGAGUAACUGCCGGUACCUUGACGGUACCUGACCAGAAAGCCACGGCUAACUACGUGCCAGCAGCCGCGGUAAUACGUAGGUGGCAAGCGUUGUCCGGAAUUAUUGGGCGUAAAGCGCGCGCAGGCGGUUCCUUAAGUCUGAUGUGAAAGCCCCCGGCUCAACCGGGGAGGGUCAUUGGAAACUGGGGAACUUGAGUGCAGAAGAGGAGAGCGGAAUUCCACGUGUAGCGGUGAAAUGCGUAGAGAUGUGGAGGAACACCAGUGGCGAAGGCGGCUCUCUGGUCUGUAACUGACGCUGAGGCGCG